rnacentral:rRNA from 1 species
GUGGGGAAUAUUGGGCAAUGGGCGCAAGCCUGACCCAGCGACGCCGCGUGGGUGAUGAAGGCCUUCGGGUCGUAAAGCCCUGUCGGGUGGAAAGAACGGUCGGUGUGCAAAUAGCGCAUCGAUGUGACGGUACCACCGAAGGAAGCACCGGCCAAUUCCGUGCCAGCAGCCGCGGUAAGACGGAAGGUGCAAGCGUUGCUCGGAAUCACUGGGCGUAAAGGGUGCGUAGGCGGCCUGGUAAGUCUGGCGUGAAAGCCCAGGGCUCAGCCCUGGAAGUGCGCUAGAAACUGCGAGGCUGGAGUGCCGGAGGGGAGAGUGGAAUUCCUGGUGUAGCGGUGAAAUGCGUAGAUAUCAGGAGGAAUACCGGUGGCGAAAGCGACUCUCUGGACGGCAACUGACGCUGAGGCACGAAAGCGUGGGGAGCAAACAGGAUUAGAAACCCGGGUAGUCC